rnacentral:rRNA from 1 species
GUACACGGUGGAUGCCCUGGCAGUCAGAGGCGAUGAAGGACGUGCUAAUCUGCGAUAAGCGUCGGUAAGGUGAUAUGAACCGUUAUAACCGGCGAUUUCCGAAUGGGGAAACCCAGUGUGAUUCGUCACACUAUCAUUAACUGAAUCCAUAGGUUAAUGAGGCGAACCGGGGGAACUGAAACAUCUAAGUACCCCGAGGAAAAGAAAUCAACCGAGAUUCCCCCAGUAGCGGCGAGCGAACGGGGAGGAGCCCAGAGCCUGAAUCAGUGUGUGUGUUAGUGGAAGCGUCUGGAAAGGCGCGCGAUACAGGGUGACAGCCCCGUACACAAAAAUACACAUAUUGUGAGCUCGAUGAGUAGGGCGGGACACGUGGUAUCCUGUCUGAAUAUGGGGGGACCAUCCUCCAAGGCUAAAUACUCCUGACUGACCGAUAGUGAACCAGUACCGUGAGGGAAAGGCGAAAAGAACCCCGGCGAGGGGAGUGAAAAAGAACCUGAAACCGUGUACGUACAAGCAGUGGGAGCACGCUUAGGCGUGUGACUGCGUACCUUUUGUAUAAUGGGUCAGCGACUUAUAUUCUGUAGCAAGGUUAACCGAAUAGGGGAGCCGAAGGGAAACCGAGUCUUAACUGGGCGUUAAGUUGCAGGGUAUAGACCCGAAACCCGGUGAUCUAGCCAUGGGCAGGUUGAAGGUUGGGUAACACUAACUGGAGGACCGAACCGACUAAUGUUGAAAAAUUAGCGGAUGACUUGUGGCUGGGGGUGAAAGGCCAAUCAAACCGGGAGAUAGCUGGUUCUCCCCGAAAGCUAUUUAGGUAGCGCCUCGUGAAUUCAUCUCCGGGGGUAGAGCACUGUUUCGGCAAGGGGGUCAUCCCGACUUACCAACCCGAUGCAAACUGCGAAUACCGGAGAAUGUUAUCACGGGAGACACACGGCGGGUGCUAACGUCCGUCGUGAAGAGGGAAACAACCCAGACCGCCAGCUAAGGUCCCAAAGUCAUGGUUAAGUGGGAAACGAUGUGGGAAGGCCCAGACAGCCAGGAUGUUGGCUUAGAAGCAGCCAUCAUUUAAAGAAAGCGUAAUAGCUCACUGGUCGAGUCGGCCUGCGCGGAAGAUGUAACGGGGCUAAACCAUGCACCGAAGCUGCGGCAGCGACGCUUAUGCGUUGUUGGGUAGGGGAGCGUUCUGUAAGCCUGCGAAGGUGUGCUGUGAGGCAUGCUGGAGGUAUCAGAAGUGCGAAUGCUGACAUAAGUAACGAUAAAGCGGGUGAAAAGCCCGCUCGCCGGAAGACCAAGGGUUCCUGUCCAACGUUAAUCGGGGCAGGGUGAGUCGACCCCUAAGGCGAGGCCGAAAGGCGUAGUCGAUGGGAAACAGGUUAAUAUUCCUGUACUUGGUGUUACUGCGAAGGGGGGACGGAGAAGGCUAUGUUGGCCGGGCGACGGUUGUCCCGGUUUAAGCGUGUAGGCUGGUUUUCCAGGCAAAUCCGGAAAAUCAAGGCUGAGGCGUGAUGACGAGGCACUACGGUGCUGAAGCAACAAAUGCCCUGCUUCCAGGAAAAGCCUCUAAGCAUCAGGUAACAUCAAAUCGUACCCCAAACCGACACAGGUGGUCAGGUAGAGAAUACCAAGGCGCUUGAGAGAACUCGGGUGAAGGAACUAGGCAAAAUGGUGCCGUAACUUCGGGAGAAGGCACGCUGAUAUGUAGGUGAAGUCCCUUGCGGAUGGAGCUGAAAUCAGUCGAAGAUACCAGCUGGCUGCAACUGUUUAUUAAAAACACAGCACUGUGCAAACACGAAAGUGGACGUAUACGGUGUGACGCCUGCCCGGUGCCGGAAGGUUAAUUGAUGGGGUCAGCGCAAGCGAAGCUCUUGAUCGAAGCCCCGGUAAACGGCGGCCGUAACUAUAACGGUCCUAAGGUAGCGAAAUUCCUUGUCGGGUAAGUUCCGACCUGCACGAAUGGCGUAAUGAUGGCCAGGCUGUCUCCACCCGAGACUCAGUGAAAUUGAACUCGCUGUGAAGAUGCAGUGUACCCGCGGCAAGACGGAAAGACCCCGUGAACCUUUACUAUAGCUUGACACUGAACAUUGAGCCUUGAUGUGUAGGAUAGGUGGGAGGCUUUGAAGUGUGGACGCCAGUCUGCAUGGAGCCGGCCUUGAAAUACCACCCUUUAAUGUUUGAUGUUCUAACGUGGACCCGUGAUCCGGGUUGCGGACAGUGUCUGGUGGGUAGUUUGACUGGGGCGGUCUCCUCCUAAAGAGUAACGGAGGAGCACGAAGGUUGGCUAAUCCUGGUCGGACAUCAGGAGGUUAGUGCAAUGGCAUAAGCCAGCUUGACUGCGAGCGUGACGGCGCGAGCAGGUGCGAAAGCAGGUCAUAGUGAUCCGGUGGUUCUGAAUGGAAGGGCCAUCGCUCAACGGAUAAAAGGUACUCCGGGGAUAACAGGCUGAUACCGCCCAAGAGUUCAUAUCGACGGCGGUGUUUGGCACCUCGAUGUCGGCUCAUCACAUCCUGGGGCUGAAGUAGGUCCCAAGGGUAUGGCUGUUCGCCAUUUAAAGUGGUACGCGAGCUGGGUUUAGAACGUCGUGAGACAGUUCGGUCCCUAUCUGCCGUGGGCGCUGGAGAACUGAGGGGGGCUGCUCCUAGUACGAGAGGACCGGAGUGGACGCAUCACUGGUGUUCGGGUUGUCAUGCCAAUGGCACUGCCCGGUAGCUAAAUGCGGAAGAGAUAAGUGCUGAAAGCAUCUAAGCACGAAACUUGCCCCGAGAUGAGUUCUCCCUGACCCUUUAAGGGUCCUGAAGGAACGUUGAAGACGACGACGUUGAUAGGCCGGGUGUGUAAGCGCAGCGAUGCGUUGAGCUAACCGGUACUAAUGAACCGUGAGGCUUAACCUU